rnacentral:misc_RNA from 1 species
GAAAUGCGAUAAGUAAUGUGAAUUGCAGAAUUCAGUGAAUCAUCGAAUCUUUGAACGCACCUUGCGCUCCUUGGUAUUCCUUGGAGCAUGCCUGUUUGAGUAUCAUGAAAUCUUCAAAGUAAAUCUUUUGUUAACUCAAUUGGCUUCUACUUUGGUAUUGGAGGUCUUUGCAGCUUCACACCUGCUCCUCUUUGUUCAUUAGCUGGAUCUCAGUGUUAUGCUUGGUUCCACUCGGCGUGAUAAGUUAUCUAUCGCUGAGGACACUGUAAAAGGUGGCCAAGGUAAAUGCAGAUGAACCGCUUCUAAUAGUCCAUUGACUUGGACAAUACUUUUAUGAUCCGAUCUCAAAUCAGGUAGGACUACCCGCUGAACUUAAGC